rnacentral:sRNA from 1 species
UCAAAGGAUGCUGGAGCCAACAUCUGCUACCCCAUUGAUCACCAGAGUUGAUUUGGCUGAUCUGGCUGGCUAUGUGGGUGUCCCCUUCCUCCCUCACCACUCAAUGUGCAUUCCUCCCAAAGCUGCCCCCACAGUCGAAGAAGACAGCUUUUACCGCUAGUAGACUUGUAGGCAAGCACACAGAAUGUUGUAAGGAUGUUGUCAAGUUUUAAUGUUUAAUGUGUCAAGUUUAUUGUAUUUUUUCAUGAUAAAAAUAAUAAAACUCA